GACGAACGCUGGCGGCGUGCCUAAUACAUGCAAGUCGAGCGGAUCUCUUCGGAGAUCAGCGGCGGACGGGUGAGUAACACGUGGGCAACCUGCCUGUAAGACUGGGAUAACUCCGGGAAACCGGGGCUAAUACCGGAUAACCCUUCGGACCUCAUGGUCCGGAGCUGAAAGACGGUUAUGCUGUCACUUACAGAUGGGCCCGCGGCGCAUUAGCUAGUUGGUGAGGUAACGGCCCACCAAGGCGACGAUGCGUAGCCGACCUGAGAGGGUGAUCGGCCACACUGGGACUGAGACACGGCCCAGACUCCUACGGGAGGCAGCAGUAGGGAAUCUUCCGCAAUGGACGAAAGUCUGACGGAGCAACGCCGCGUGAGUGAAGAAGGUUUUCGGAUCGUAAAACUCUGUUGUUAGGGAAGAACAAGUACGAGAGUAACUGCUCGUACCUUGACGGUACCUAACCAGAAAGCCACGGCUAACUACGUGCCAGCCGCCGCAGUAAGAC
rnacentral:rRNA from 1 species